GAUGAACGCUGGCGGCGUGCCUAAUACAUGCAAGUCGAGCGAACGGACGAGAAGCUUGCUUCUCUGACGUUAGCGGCGGACGGGUGAGUAACACGUGGAUAACCUCCCUAUAAGACUGGGAUAACUUCGGGAAACCGGCGCUUAUCCCGGAUAAUAUUUUGCUCCGCAUGGUUCGAUAGUGAAAGACGGUCUUGCUGUCACUACUAGCUGGUUCCGCGCUGCAUUAGCUAGUUGGUAAGGUAACGGCUUACCACGGCAACGAUGCAUAGCCGACCGGCGAGAGGGAUAGGCGACACGGGAACGGAGACACGGACCAGACUCCUACGGGAGGCAGCAGUAGGGAAUCGGCCGCAAUGGGCGAAAGCCUGACGGAGCAACGCCGCGUGAGUUAUGAAGGUCUUCGGAGCGGAAAACUCUGUUAUUAGGGAAGAACAGAUGUGUAAGUAACUGUGCACAUCGUGACGGUACCUAAUCAGAAAGCCACGGCUAACUACGUG
rnacentral:rRNA from 1 species